ACCUUUUUCUCUUACACUUCCCAAAGCGUGAAAAACCCCACUCCCACCCCAACCAAAUAAAAUUAUCAAAAAACCCUCUUCCUCAAACACCACGAUGCCUUCCUCUAUGGUGGAGCUUUGAACUCCCAUUCUUCAUUGCAAUGACUUGCCUUCUCUGAGGGCGAUUUGAACUUGGACACCCACUCUACACAUCUGGUGAAUUUGUCUUGGCUUAGGGUUUGUUAUCCUUCUUGUCAAGGCAAGUAAUGCAUCCUGCAAUGUGCCACCUCUUUCAAAUAUGAUCAACUGUAUUUCCAACACCUGCUGUCCACAUAUUCAAAACUUGUCUCCAGGUUUUACAGUCGAGGGUCCAACAAUCUACUGGCUUGAGUUUGUCAAGAGCAUCUAAAUCACCGUAACUAACUCUUGACAUUCAUGUAAAUCCAAAAAAUUUGGAAGCAAGACGUCAGCUUUGGGACUCCGUUAUUGAUUCUAUCAAGAAUUUUAAAUUUGAAGAACCGGCCUGCAUCUGAUCAGAGUGAAGUGGAAGUAUGAGCAACUGAAAAUGAAAGAACAAGUUGAAGCACAAGACAAACCUACUGGUUUAUGUUUUAGGAAUUAUUUACAGAUAUUCUCAUUUAUACAUAUUACAUUUUAUUCUCUUUUGUAAGGAGUUGAUAUUUAAUGUCUUAUAAUAAGGAUAGAAAAUUUUAUGCAAUGCAACACUACACUUCUUUGUAA